rnacentral:rRNA from 1 species
UACAGAGGUCCCAAGCGUUGUUCGGAUUCAUUGGGCGUAAAGGGUGCGUAGGCGGCGCGGUAAGUCGGGUGUGAAAUCUCGGGGCUUAACUCCGAAACUGCAUUCGAUACUGCCGUGCUUGAGGACUGGAGAGGAGACUGGAAUUUACGGUGUAGCGGUGAAAUGCGUAGAUAUCGUAAGGGAAGACCAGUGGCGAAGGCGGGUCUCUGGACAGUUCCUGACGCUGAGGCACGAAGGCCAGGGGGAGCAAACGGG